GCCCUUUUCAUCGGCUGCGGGAACGCCUAUAUCUCCCCUGCCGUCGCAAGGCGGAUAUGGCAAUAAACUGUCGGUGUAAUAAACCUAUUGGACCCGGGGGCGGUACCCGGCGCCUCCACCAAAAACCGGCCUGAAGGGUGACUGGAAACAGGACGCCCGAACGGCGAAAUGCCUUGAGCGGCCGGCUUUUGAUGGGGGCGAAAUAGGAUCGACAAGGGCGUAAAGAUCGAACUUUUGCUCGGCAUUGUACCACCGUUAUCGGGCUUAAACAGUAGUUGCAAACGACAACUAUGCGGAAGCUCGUCUCGCUGCUUAAUCGCGGUGUGACACUUCAAAUCAAGUCCUUCCGGUUCGCACCGUAAGGCGGGGUUCGGAGGUACCUGGCAACAGAAACCUCCACU
rfam:Rhizobium sp. Leaf371 contig_1, whole genome shotgun sequence.